rnacentral:ncRNA from 1 species
GAAUCAGCGCCAGAGCUGCGUUGCGGCAAUCGCCGCGUCGCAGCAGACGAGGUGAAUAAUCAUCGAAAUUUUCGGCGGAUGUUAUUCCGGCGCGGGCUCAACGCGUCGCAGAAUCGUAACAAAAACAGCGGGCGACCGCUGAACAAAGCGCGGUUCAAAU